UUGAUAGUUGAUGAAAAGAUUUCAGCUGCGGAGGUAACUGCGGCGCUUCGCGAUGGUGCAGGGGAUUUACUUGAAUCAAUCGAACUCUUCGAUCGUUACGACAAGAUUGGCGACGGAAAGAUUUCACUUGCCUUUACAUUAACUUUCCGUGCGCCAGACCGUACCCUUAAGACAGAGGAAGUAUCGGCUUCACGAGAGGCAGCUGCCGCAGAGGCGUUAAAGCGUUGCGGCGCCACCGUGCGUGCAUAAAUAUGCAAUAUAUUGCAUAAAUACUAAUAUUUAGUUAAUCUAGAGCCAUGAAAAUUGGCGUAGUUGGUGCGAGCGGAUAUGCCGGAGGGGAACUGUUAAGACUCCUGGCGGGCCAUCCAGAAUUUGAAGCUGCGGUAAUAACUGCAGGUAGCAAUGUGAGUUUGAGCAAUGUGACGGUUGUAGAUCCGUUGACGGGCUUGAACCAGACUGUGGGCACGUUGGCACCUGGAGCUAGCCAGUCGGUAACUACGACAUACGCUGUAAUCCAGUCUGAUGUAGACAGCGGCCAGAUUACGAAUGUGGCUUCCGUGAGUGGCCAGGGACCUGAUCAGACGACAGUGUCGGCGCAUGAUGAUGCGGUUGUUACGGCGAUACAGAAUCCAUCGAUCGAUGUUGAGAUUACCGAUAAUGAAGCGGAUAUCGAUGAGGAAGGAGAGGAGAUUGACUAUACGAUCACGGUAACGAAUACGGGCAAUGUGACCCUGACCAACGUGACGGUUGUAGACAGCAAAACCGGUACGGUGGUAAAUGUGGGUACGUUGGCACCAGGAGAGAGCAAGCAGGUGGAGACGGUGUAUACGGUAACCCAGGAAGAUGUAGAUAAAGGCAGUGUGAGCAAUGAGGCUACUGCGACGGGAGAGAGUCCGAAUGAAGGGGAUGACAAUCCUACGGAUAUCGAUGAGGUGACUACACCGAUUGCGCAGCUGCCAUCGAUUGUGAUCGAGAAGAAGUCAGACAAGACGGAGGGUUAGUCGGGACCUAAGGCGAGGCCGAGAGGCGUAGUCGAUGGAUACAGGGUGAAUAUUCCCUGACUACUAGGCUGGAGCUGAACAGGGACGCAUGAAAAAUAGCUAUGCCCUAAUUGGAUUGGGAGGAGUCUACGGACUCUGCGUAGUGAAAGAUAGUGCCAAGAAAAGCUGUUUCAGUGUUGAAAGCCAGUACCCGUACCCGAAACCGACACAGGUAGGGAGGUUGAGAAUACCAAGGGGCGCGAGGUAACUCUCUCUAAGGAACUCGGCAAAAUGGCCCCGUAACUUCGGGAGAAGGGGUGCCACCGAGAGGUGGUCGCAGUGAAGAGGUCCAGGCGACUGUUUACCAAAAACACAGGUCUCUGCAAAGUCGUAAGACGACGUAUAGGGGCUGACGCCUGCCCAGUGCCGGAAGGUUAAGGAAGCUGGUCAGCGAAAGUGAAGCUGGCGACCGAAGCCCCGGUGAACGGCGGCCGUAACUAUAACGGUCCUAAGGUAGCGAAAUUCCUUGUCGGGUAAGUUCCGACCCGCACGAAAGGCGUAACGAUCUGGACGCUGUCUCAGAGAGAGGCUCGGCGAAAUAGGAUUGUCUGUGAAGAUACGGACUACCUGCACCCGGACAGAAAGACCCUAUGAAGCUUUACUGUAGCUUGGGAUUGGGUUCGGGCUUUGUCUGCGCAGAAUAGGUGGGAGGCUAAGAGACUAUCCUUGUGGGGAUAGAGGAGCCAACGGUGAGAUACCACUCUGACAAGGCUAGAAUUCUAACUUCGACCCCUCCUCCAGACUCAGCGAAGUUGAAAUGUUUGUGAUGAUGCAAUCUCCCCGCGGAAAGACGGAAAGACCCCACGAACCUUUACUGUAGCUUUGUAUUGGACUUUGAACAGAUCUGUGUAGGAUAGGUGGGAGGCUUUGAAGUGCGGUCGCUAGAUCGCAUGGAGCCGACGUUGAAAUACCACCCUGGUGUGUUUGA
rnacentral:rRNA from 1 species